AAAAAAUUAGUUAAUUUAUAACAUUAGAUUGUCAAACUAAAAUUAUUAUUUAAAUAAUAUUUUUUA
rnacentral:tRNA from 1 species